rnacentral:rRNA from 1 species
AGAUUGAACGCUGGCGGAAUGCUUUACACAUGCAAGUCGAACGGCAGCACGGGGGCAACCCUGGUGGCGAGUGGCGAACGGGUGAGUAAUACAUCGGAACGUGCCCAGUCGUGGGGGAUAACUACGCGAAAGCGUAGCUAAUACCGCAUACGAUCUACGGAUGAAAGCGGGGGAUCGCAAGACCUCGCGCGAUUGGAGCGGCCGAUGGCAGAUUAGGUAGUUGGUGGGGUAAAGGCUCACCAAGCCGUCGAUCUGUAGCUGGUCUGAGAGGACGACCAGCCACACUGGGACUGAGACACGGCCCAGACUCCUACGGGAGGCAGCAGUGGGAAUUUUGGACAAUGGGCGCAAGCCUGAUCCAGCCAUUCCGCGUGCAGGAUGAAGGCCUUCGGUUGUAAACUGUCUUUGUACGGAACGAAAGGCUUCUCUAAUACAGAGAGCUCAUGACGGUAACCGUAAGAAUAAGCACGGACUAACUACGUCGCAGCAGCCGA